UCUCUGUGGAAUUCGCAGACCCCCUUUCUUCUCUAUCUUCUUUCUUCUUCUUCUUUCUUUUCUUCUAAGACCAAGUGACCAACAGAGAGAGUGAGAUGAGGAAUUAGAGUAGUGAAGGAGAGAAGUUGUCCAGACCCAGAAGCCCAGUCCAGCAAGCAGAAACCCGUAAGCCCCACAAACUGAUUUCAAGCCCAAACCCAGAAAGCCUGUGAUCCACAAAUCAACCCAUGAACCAUGGAUUCGAACCCAGCAACCCAGCAAGCCAAACCCAACCCAAGCCCAUAACCUGUGAGCCCAGUUCAGCAAAACCCACAAGCCCAAAGCCCAGACCGAAGCCAUUAAACCCAGCAGUAACCCAGACCCACUGAGCUUGACCCGAACCCGGAACCCCGACCCGCCGGCGACCCGCCUCCGGCGACUUUUCCGGCGACUUUUCCGGCGACUUCCAAAACUCACCGUUUCGACUGGAUUUUCGAGUGAAAAUCCUUAAUAUGAUGAAUUGAGACAGCACAAAAAGGACAAUGACUGUGCAGGCACAGACACUGACGAGUAUCAGGAUUAUCAGGAGCCUUAUGAUGAUCCUGGUUUCAUAGAUGAGACGGUCUAAAGUCUUCUUUUUAUGAUAGACUUGCUGAACAGUUUAUCUUCCAUGUCGUUAUUAGGUUUUAUUUUAUGUACUUUCCAGACAUCUUACGCUUUAUUUUAUAGUUUGUAAUAUGACUAUUAUUACAUAGGACGUGAGCCGUGGUGGCCCUUAUGUUAUUGCUUUUGUGUGUAUUUAUUUGUAAGACCUUUUAUUAUUAUUAUAAUGUAAGUUGAGGUAUUUCAAUUAAA